AGAAAUUCAUCUAUCAAAUUCACAAUAGGUUGUGAAUUAAAAUGGAAAACUCUUGGAAUAAUGUAAAUGGACUGGAUGGACAUGGGGCAACUUUAAAUAGAUAAAUGAGACUUUUUUGCUCACCUGGAACUUCAAAAAGUGCUUACCAAAGACUGUCUCCUCACUGCUAUUUCUUAUACACAAAUUUCUUGUUGGCUUCCUGACUCAAUACUUCAAUUUAUAGUUAUCUGGGAUUUGCUGUUUGAUGAUUUGAAUGUGUCAUAAAAUCACAAAGUUCGAAAGGCAAAAUCCUAGUAACUGGAAUAAUCAGAAAAGUAUGGCUUCCAGGUCUGUCACCUCUAAUUCAUCUCCUCCUCCCCCAAGUGUGUAAUCAUAGUCUUUAGUUUUUACAAAACUUUCAUUACUUUAAGUAAAAAUAAGCAAAUCUAUACAAGA
rnacentral:lncRNA from 1 species